rnacentral:rRNA from 1 species
GAUGAACGCUGGCGGCGUGCCUAAUACAUGCAAGUCGAGCGAACAGACGAGGAGCUUGCUCCUCUGACGUUAGCGGCGGACGUGUGAGUAACACGUGGAUAACCUACCUAUUCGACUUGUAUUACUUCGGGAAUCCGGAUCUACUACCGUAUCAUAUAUUCAACCGCUUAGUUCUUUAUUUCAUUACGCUUUUCCUGUCACUUUUACAUGGAUCCGCGCCGCAUUAGCUAGUUGGUAAGGUAACGGCUUACCAAGGCCACGAUGCGUAGCCGACCUGAGAGGGUGAUCGGCCAGACUGGAAGUGAGACACGGUCCAGACUCCUACGGGAGGCAGCAGUAGGGAAUCUUCCACAAUGGGCGAAAGCCUGACGGAGCAACGCCGCGUGAGUGAUGAAGGACUUCGGAUCGUAAAACUCUGUUAUUAGGGAAGAACAAAGGUGUAAGAAACUAUGCACGUCUUGACGGUACCUAAACAGAAAGCAACGGCUAACUACGUG